rnacentral:lncRNA from 1 species
AUUUAACCCAUCAGGGACUCUGGGAAUGUCGGCACAUAGUUCACUUUUCUGAUUGUAUUCUUGGACAUCUGGAAUUCCCUGAUCCUGACACAAGACAGAGCCAUGCCUGAAAAGACUGUGGAACUGUACUUUUCAAAGGAUUUAAAAAUCAUUAGGUCUGGCACUCUUAAAAGAAGAGGAAGUGACACCAAGGAUGCCCACAUAGAGAGAGAAAAGCCAUGUGAGGACACAGUGAGAAGACGGCCGUCUACAAGCUAGGAAGAAGGGUCUCACCAGAAGCCAACGCUGCCAGCACUUUGAUCUUGGACUCCUAGCCCCAAGAAUUGGGAGUAAAUAAAGUUCUGUUUUUUAAGCCA